UCCCUGGUGGCUCAGAGGGUAAAGCGUCUGCCCGCAAUGCAGGAGACCUGGGUUUGAUCCCUGGGUCGGGAA
rnacentral:tRNA from 1 species